rnacentral:lncRNA from 1 species
GGGGCCACUUUAAGGUGGCAGUCUGGGUGCACAACAUUUUCUUGUCUUCGAGGAAGGAGCAGAGGUGUUCAGAGCCCCCUGGACUGCCCUGAAAACCUCACUCUUCCAGGCCCCUCUGCAGACCCUUCUGAAGGCCAGAUCUCCAGGCAGUAGGCUGGGCUGUCACCCUCUUCUCUGAGACCCUACACCUGUCCUGAGACCUCCCCACUGUCCCUCAGAUGCCCCAUCCCUCCGGAUUCCCCACCUCCCCUGGGACCCUCCAGGCCCCACCUGCCUUACUUGACGCUGCAGCGCUCUCUGAACAUGGCGUGGCUGUGAAGGUUUGGCUCACAUCUAGGUCAUUCUGGUGCAUGUUCACUGAGGACAUCUUGGCCUGCUCCAUUUUGUAUACAGCAGGGCCAAGCCUCAGAACAGACACAAGAGUCACUGUCAAAACUGCUGUCAUAAAACAGCCGUUCUGCAAGGAAAGGGGGCUUUUUCUGCAGAUACUUCAUUUCCAUAGCCAGGGAAAGUCAGCAGCGUGCAGCUCACCUGUGUUCCCCACACCACUGUCUGCCCAGGAUGUGUGACUGAUCCCUUCCGCCCCCUUGGGGUUGACUUUCCCUCCAUCUGGGUAACUGGGCUUCUGACACAGUCUGGCCUAUGCAUCCUACUCUGGUUGGGUGUGGAAGGGCCAGACCUGGUGUUUCCUUGGGUUCUUGGCCUUUGUCUUCUCGACAUUCAGUAGGAGUGACUAUGCUGGGCCCCAGACCUCUGUAAGUAUUCAUUUGGAGACCCAAUAAGACAUCUAUGGACAGAAGAUGCUCUGGUGAGACAGACUUCAGGGUGACCCCAAGGGGGAUCCAAGUCUAAGGAUUCUGGAAGUUUCCAGUCUUUGGUUGCACAGUUCCUCAGGAGAGGUUCAGUCUGCCUAGGACUGGGCCUCUUCAUGAAAGGUGGGCAAGAGCUCAGGUUGUGAACUCUGAUCUGGAUUUAUUCCUUCCUAUGGGGUGUCCAGAAGGUGUUCCUGUUCCUGCCUUAGAAGCGGCCCAUGCCCAGGCAUCAGAUUCCUCCCAGCAAGGUGAUCCUUGCAGGGAUGGGCAGGAGGGCUAGGGACAAGGCCUGUUGUCCUUUUGGUGAGGAAAGUGUGCCCUGCCCUGUCUGAGAGGCAGGCAGCACCAGGAAGCAACAAUAGGCGCCUGUCCUAAACCCUGAAGAGCAGUCAUGGGGGACCCUCACUCACAGCUGCGCCUUCUUGUUGUACCUAGAUUUAUUCCAGUUAAGCAUUUAUAGGCAUUUAUCUGUAUGUCUGAUGCCCUGAUGUUUUUGCUGUCGGUAAGAAGUGAUGGAGUGAGCUGAGCUGCCAGGUUUCCUGGAGUGAUUCUUGGAUGCUGGGUCAUGUGGUUAGGGGUCCCGAUGGGACUGAACUGGAAGGAGCCAGAAUAGGACAGAACCAAGCCCCUGAUGAGUGGCCACUGGUGGCUUGGCCUUAUGACCAUAGGACACACUGUUCCCAGGGCACAGACACGCUGGGCUUUGGUUGGGUCUUGGCCUCCAGGUAGGGCCUGGUGGGCAGCGGGCAGCGACUCCUGAGACACUACUGUGAUUCUCGGUGGUGGCUGUGGUACAAAGCCUGCAGGGCUAGAGUUUGGAGUGAGAUUCAGCAGGAACUGUGGCCUCUCCCAGUGACGGUGUGUCACUCCCAUUCCCAGCACGCAUGCCCACAGGCCACAGCCUCCGCAUCACACACCCCCUGCCAAGUCGCCCAUCCAUGGAGCAGCCCCCAUACAGCAGGGUCAGGCUCUUACCUCCACCUCCAGGGCACAGACAGGGGCAGUUCUGUCUCACUGUAAGGCAAUGGAAGGAGAGCUGAGGACCUGGACCAGGCUGGGGGCCAGGUCUCAGCCCAGGAGCCUGCAUAGGGAAGAAAGGACAGACAAGGCCUCCGUGCUGGCUGACACUCAGGAGGGGCUGGGGCAAAGGAGCAGAAGGAGUACAAGAUCAGGCAGGGACUGCUCAGGAUCCAUGGGGGCUCGGGCUGCACAGUGGGGCUGCCCCUCCUGGGCUGCAGGCAGCGUCCCCUGUGGGAGCUGAGCAAGUCCAGUCCUGAGAUGGGACAGUGUUGCCCAGGGGUGUGUGGCUGGGCCCUGACAACAGUCUCCCCAAAAGUGACCACAUCACCCGGCUCAAUUCCAGGAAGGCUGAGAAGUGCCCAGUACACCUAGGAUGCACCUGGAGCCCAUCCUGUCUAAUAGACUCUGACCAUCGCACGUCCACCAGCCUCUCCUGCAUAUUGGCCACCACCCCUUCCCUUUUCCUCAUUUCUCCAUCGUGUCUGACCCAGAGACUGUGACCCUCUCUCCAGCCACAGUGGCCCUUCUUUUACCUUCAUCCUGUAAAAGCCCUUGAGCAAGACUCCUCUGAUCCAUGAACAUGCCUGCCUUGUCCACUUACUAAUUGGGCUGCUGUGCACUGCUGCUGUGGCACCAGAGGUGCUACUGAGCUUUGGGGACUGACCGAGGCUCCUCUGCUGAGGGGUCCCAAGUGAGUCGCUGCCCCUGGAUCUACGUCAUCCGCUGUCCUCUUCAGCACCAUCCACUCCACCCCAGGCCGGCUCCAUGCAGAUGCAUCCCCGAGUCACCAGUCUCAGGGUCCUCUGUUGUAGGAUGCAGAUUACUGUACCUGCUGUACACAUUUAUUAUGUGAAAUAAAUUAUAUAUAUAAUAUAUAAA